rnacentral:rRNA from 1 species
UAUGCUUUAGGAGGGGCUUGCGCCAUAUUAGUUAGUUGGUAGGGUAAUGGCCUACCAAGACGAUGAUGUGUAGCUGGACUGAGAGGUUGAACAGCCACAUUGGGACUGAGACACGGCCCAAACUCCUACGGGAGGCAGCAGUAGGGAAUUUUCGGCAAUGGAGGAAACUCUGACCGAGCAACGCCGCGUGAAUGACGAAGUACUUCGGUAUGUAAAGUUCUUUUAUCAAGGAAGAAAAGCAAGUGGUGAACCAUUUGUUUGCCGGUACUUGAUGAAUAAGCCCCGGCUAAUUAUGUGCCAGCAGCCGCGGUAAGACAUAAGGGGCAAGUGUUAUCCGGAAUUAUUGGGCGUAAAGGGUGCGUAGGCGGUCUAGUAAGUCAGUGGUGUAAUGGCAACGCUCAACGUUGUCCGGCUAUUGAAACUGCUAAACUUGAGUUAGAUAGAGGCGAGUGGAAUUCCAUGUGUAGCGGUAAAAUGCGUAAAUAUAUGGAGGAACACCAGAGGCGUAGGCGGCUCGCUGGGUCUUAACUGACGCUGAGGCACGAAAGCGUGGGGAGCAAACAGGAUUAGAUACCCUGGUAGUCCACGCCGUAAACGAUGAGUACUAAGUGUCGGGUUAAACCGGUACUGAAGUUAACACAUUAAGUACUCCGCCUGAGUAGUACGUACGCAAGUAUGAAACUUAAAGGAAUUGACGGGACUCCGCACAAGCGGUGGAUCAUGUUGUUUAAUUCGAAGAUACCCGAAAAACCUUACCAGGUCUUGACAUGUUUUUGCGAAACGGUAGUAAUAUCGUGGAGGUUAUCAGAAACACAGGUGGUGCAUGGUUGUCGUCAGCUCGUGUCGUGAGAUGUUAGGUUAAGUCCUAAAACGAGCGAAACCCUUAUCGUUAGUUGCCAGCACGUUAUGGUGGGGACUUUAACGAGACUGCCAGUGAUAAAUUGGAGGAAGGUGAGGAUCACGUCAAAUCAGCAUGCCCCUUAUGACCUGGGCUACAAACGUGAUACAAUGGCUGUUACAAAGGGUAGCUGAAACGCAAGUUCUUGGCCAAUCCCCAAAAACAGUCUCAGUCCGGAUUGAAGUCUGCAACUCGACUUCAUGAAG